ensembl:snRNA U6 U6 spliceosomal RNA
UGUGGCACCUCACCAUCCUCCCCUAAAAUUGGAACGAUACAGAGAAGAUUAGCAUGGGCCCUGCGCAAGGAUGACACGCAAAUUUGUGAAGCGUUCCAUAUUUUU